rnacentral:rRNA from 1 species
CGAGACCUCAGGUUCAGGCGGGGCUACCCGCUGAAUUUAAGCAUAUCAAUAAGCGGAGGAAAAGAACUAACAAGGAUUCCCUUACUAACGG